rnacentral:rRNA from 1 species
UACAGAGGUCUCAAGCGUUGUUCGGAUUCAUUGGGCGUAAAGGGUGCGUAGGCGGCGCGGUAAGUCGGGUGUGAAAUCUCGGGGCUUAACUCCGAAACUGCAUUCGAUACUACCGUGCUUGAGGACUGGAGAGGAGGCUGGAAUUUACGGUGUAGCGGUGAAAUGCGUAGAUAUCGUAAGGAAGACCAGUGGCGAAGGCGGGUCUCUGGACAGUUCCUGACGCUGAGGCACGAAGGCCAGGGGAGCAAACGGG